rnacentral:rRNA from 1 species
UGGGGAAUAUUGCACAAUGGGGGAAACCCUGAUGCAGCGAUGCCGCGUGGAUGAUGAAGGUCUUCGGAUCGUAAAGUCCUUUCGACGGGGAAGAAAAAAAUGACGGUACCUGGAGAAGAAGCCACGGCUAAUCACGUGCCAGCAGCCGCGGUAAUACGUGAGUGGCAAGCGUUAUCCGGAAUUACUGGGCGUAAAGAGCGCGUAGGCGUCUUGAUAAGUCAGAGGUGAAAAGUCAGGGCUUAACCUUGGCCUUGCCUUUGAAACUAUCGAGAUAGAGUACUGGAUAGGAGGGCGGAACUACAAGUGUAGCGGUGGAAUGCGUAGAUAUUUGUAGGAAUGCCGAUGACGAAGGUAGCUCUCUGGACAGAUACUGACGCUGAGGUGCGAAAGCUAGGGGAGCAAACAGG